AUUGAACGCUGGCGGCAUGCCUUACACAUGCAAGUCGAACGGCAGCACGGGAGCAAUCCUGGUGGCGAGUGGCGAACGGGUGAGUAAUAUAUCGGAACGUGCCCAGUCGUGGGGAUAACGUAGCGAAAGCUACGCUAAUACCGCAUACGAUCUAUGGAUGAAAGCGGGGGAUCGCAAGACCUCGCGCGAUUGGAGCGGCCGAUAUCAGAUUAGGUAGUUGGUGAGGUAAAGGCUCACCAAGCCGACGAUCUGUAGCUGGUCUGAGAGGACGACCAGCCACACUGGGACUGAGACACGGCCCAGACUCCUACGGGAGGCAGCAGUGGGGAAUUUUGGACAAUGGGCGCAAGCCUGAUCCAGCAAUGCCGCGUGCAGGAUGAAGGCCCUUGGUGUAAACUGCUUUGUACGUACGAACGGUGAGCUCUAAUACAG
rnacentral:rRNA from 1 species